UUUGUAGCCCAUGCUGGCCUGACGCUUAGGACAAUCCUGCUCAGAGUUCCAUAUAGUGGCAUUACAGGGGCAGCAACAGUACUGGAAUCAGAACUGGAUAUAUAAAGAGGUGCUCAGCAGAUGAGGACCAGACCUUUGCAACCGAAAAUUCAACUUUAAAGUUCCAAAGAUCUGUCCCAGGAAGGCUGGAGGGCUGUGUGAUCUACAAGGUCAAAGGCUCCUGAGCAGAUGGAAAAAAAAAAGAAACAUAGGGGUGAAGAGCUGAGUAAGUAAGAGUUGCUGUUACUCAGCUGGUGAAGUAGCUGGGUGGAUUAGGGGUUUGCACAAAGCCUGACCACCCCAACUUUGACUCACUGGGACCCAGUGGUGGAAGGAGUGAACUGACUUCUGCAAGCUGUCUCCUGACCACCGCCUAUAUGUGUGCCCACACGUGCACAGAUGAAGAAAUUGGAAGCAUCAAGUUUCCAGAGUGUCCAGCCUGGAGCAGAGCGUGGACACCUGGGACAUAGGGAGGAGCUAGGGUUAGCAGAAGGCCCACAAUGAAGACUCCAAAAGAUCCUUUGACAUAUGGCAGGUUGGAGCUCAGGAGUCCAAAUUGGAUCUCACUUAACUAAGAAUCAGGAUGCCAGGGUCUUAUUUCCUUUUGGAGGUUCCAAAGAAGAUUGCUUUCUUGCCUUUUCCAGCUUCUUGGAGUUUCUCACAUUCUUUGACUCAGAGCCCCCUGCACCCAGGGCUUCACUCCAGCCACUGAAAGACAUUCGGAGCUCCAUGGUGAUCCUACUGGUCCUGCUCAGGAGCCAGGAGACAGAACUAAUGGCAAC
rnacentral:lncRNA from 1 species